rnacentral:misc_RNA from 1 species
GAUGAAGAACGCAGCAAAAUGCGAUAAGUAAUGUGAAUUGCAGAAUUCAGUGAAUCAUCGAAUCUUUGAACGCACAUUGCGCCCGCCAGUAUUCUGGCGGGCAUGCCUGUUCGAGCGUCAUUUCAACCCUCAAGCACAGCUUGGUGUUGGGCAACGCGGUCCGCCGCGUGCCUCAAAUCGACCGGCUGGGUCUUCUGUCCCCUAAGCGUUGUGGAAACUAUUCGCUAAAGGGUGUUCGGGAGGCUACGCCGUAAAACAACCCCAUUUCUAAGGUUGACCUCGGAUCAGGUAGGGAUACCCGCUGAACUUAAGCAUAUCAAUAAGCGGAGGA